UAUCAAUAUAUAAUGCCCCUCUUUAUCCAUGAUAACUUACCUUGCUCUGAAGUCUUCACUAUCUGAAAUUAAUAUAGCUACUCUUUCUUUAUUUGAUUAGUGUUAGCAUGGUAUAUCUUUCUCCAUCCAUUUACU